UUGGAGUCCAACAGAUCAUCAGGCCUCCUCCUCGCCCUAGACGCGGAGAAGGCCUUCGAUCGCCUAAAUUGGGCCUAUAUGACUAAAGUAUUAGCACAAUUUAACUUUCCAGAAUCCACCAUAACUAGCAUUAUGGCUCUAUACCAUCGUCCAGCAGCGAAAGUAUCACACGGAGGGUUCCUCUCUACUGCAUUCUCCAUCACAAAUGGCACCCGCCAGGGAUGCCCCUUGUCGCCCCUUCUGUACAUACUUGCCCUAGAACCCCUGGCACAAAAGAUCCGAACACACCCCGAGAUACUAGG